rnacentral:rRNA from 1 species
GCGCAAUGGGCGAAAGCCUGACGCAGCAACGCCGCGUGAGGGAUGAAGGCCUUCGGGUUGUAAACCUCUUUUGUCAGGGACGAUGAUGACGGUACCUGACGAAUAAGCCACGGCUAACUACGUGCCAGCAGCCGCGGUAAUACGUAGGUGGCAAGCGUUGUCCGGAUUUACUGGGCGUAAAGAGCGCGCAGGCGGUCGUUCAAGUCGCGUGUGAAAGCCCCCGGCUCAACUGGGGAGGGUCUCGCGAUACUGAUCGACUCGAAGGCAGGAGAGGGUAGUGGAAUUCCCGGUGUAGUGGUGAAAUGCGUAGAUAUCGGGAGGAACACCAGUGGCGAAGGCGACUACCUGGCCUGUUCUUGACGCUGAGGCGCGAAAGCUAGGGGAGACAAACGGGAUUAGACUACCCCGGUAGUCCUAGCCGUAAACGAUGGACACUAGGUGUUGGUGGUAUCAACCCCGCCAGUGCCGAAGCUAACGCAUUAAGUGUCCCGCCGUGGGGAGUACGGCCGCAAGGACU